UCAGUGUGUGUGUUAGUGGAAGCGUCUGGAAAGGCGCGCGAUACAGGGUGACAGCCCCGUACACAAAAAUGCACAUGCUGUGAGCUCGAUGAGUAGGGCGGGACACGUGGUAUCCUGUCUGAAUAUGGGGGGACCAUCCUCCAAGGCUAAAUACUCCUGACUGACCGAUAGUGAACCAGUACCGUGAGGGAAAGGCGAAAAGAACCCCGGCGAGGGGAGUGAAAAAGAACCUGAAACCGUGUACGUACAAGCAGUGGGAGCACGCUUAGGCGUGUGACUGCGUACCUUUUGUAUAAUGGGUCAGCGACUUAUAUUCUGUAGCAAGGUUAACCGAAUAGGGGAGCCGAAGGGAAACCGAGUCUUAACUGGGCGUUAAGUUGCAGGGUAUAGACCCGAAACCCGGUGAUCUAGCCAUGGGCAGGUUGAAGGUUGGGUAACACUAACUGGAGGACCGAACCGACUAAUGUUGAAAAAUUAGCGGAUGACUUGUGGCUGGGGGUGAAAGGCCAAUCAAACCGGGAGAUAGCUGGUUCUCCCCGAAAGCUAUUUAGGUAGCGCCUCGUGAAUUCAUCUCCGGGGGUAGAGCACUGUUUCGGCAAGGGGGUCAUCCCGACUUACCAACCCGAUGCAAACUGCGAAUACCGGAGAAUGUUAUCACGGGAGACACACGGCGGGUGCUAACGUCCGUCGUGAAGAGGGAAACAACCCAGACCGCCAGCUAAGGUCCCAAAGUCAUGGUUAAGUGGGAAACGAUGUGGGAAGGCCCAGACAGCCAGGAUGUUGGCUUAGAAGCAGCCAUCAUUUAAAGAAAGCGUAAUAGCUCACUGGUCGAGUCGGCCUGCGCGGAAGAUGUAACGGGGCUAAACCAUGCACCGAAGCUGCGGCAGCGACGCUUAUGCGUUGUUGGGUAGGGGAGCGUUCUGUAAGCCUGCGAAGGUGUGCUGUGAGGCAUGCUGGAGGUAUCAGAAGUGCGAAUGCUGACAUAAGUAACGAUAAAGCGGGUGAAAAGCCCGCUCGCCGGAAGACCAAGGGUUCCUGUCCAACGUUAAUCGGGGCAGGGUGAGUCGACCCCUAAGGCGAGGCCGAAAGGCGUAGUCGAUGGGAAACAGGUUAAUAUUCCUGUACUUGGUGUUACUGCGAAGGGGGGACGGAGAAGGCUAUGUUGGCCGGGCGACGGUUGUCCCGGUUUAAGCGUGUAGGCUGGUUUUCCAGGCAAAUCCGGAAAAUCAAGGCUGAGGCGUGAUGACGAGGUACUACGGUGCUGAAGCAACAAAUGCCCUGCUUCCAGGAAAA
rnacentral:rRNA from 1 species